rnacentral:rRNA from 1 species
GACGAACCGUGCGAACGUUGUUCGGAAUCACUGGGCUUAAAGGGCGCGUAGGCGGGCACGCAAGUCAGGGGUGAAAGCCCCCGGCUCAACCGGGGGACAGCUUCUGAUACUGCGUGCCUUGAGUGGGGUAGGGGCGCGUGGAACUUCCGGUGGAGCGGUGAAAUGCGUAGAUAGUCGGAAGGAACGCCGGUGGCGAAAGCGACGCGCUGGGCCCUUUCUGACGCUGAGGCGCGAAAGCCAGGGGAGCGAACGGG